rnacentral:tRNA from 1 species
GGAGAGGUGUCUGAGUGGUCGAAAGAGCACGCCUGGAAAGUGUGUAUAUGCCAAAAGCGUAUCGAGGGUUCGAAUCCCUCCCUCUCCG